rnacentral:rRNA from 1 species
UUCUGAUGUCAUAUUGAUUCAUUGGUUCAAAUGCUUCCCAUCCCAUCAGAUAUUGGAAGCAAAGCAGGGUCGAGCCUGGGUAGUAAUUGGAUAGGAGACCUCCAUGGAAGGGUGUUACAGGCUGAGGGACAGCAGGAU